GUCAGGAUUGCCACUGCUGCCUGCAUCUAUCUUGGUAAAUUUUGUCAUUCAGGCCCUGGAACUGUGGGUUUUCUUGUGAGGUGUGGAGAGAAAGUUAAUAAUUAAAUUUCCAACUUGCAAAAUGGUAAAAAUAACCUCGAAACAGCUAUUAGCUGUAAAUUGCUUCAGUGCAUUCUGCCUGGAUCUUCAGACAGCCUUUAACAGUGCAGUUGGAAGGUGUGAACAGACAUGAAAAAGCCCCUGUGUCCGUCUGAAGGAAGGGCCAGGUUUUGAAAUCACAUAGACUUCAGACUCAUCUCUGAAAUGUGAAGCUGGAAAACUGAUAAAAAUCUUUGGGUAGAUACAAGAGGUGAAUGCACAAAGGAGGCCAAACAGCACCCCAGCACAAACACCCCACACAUACUUUUUGGGAAAACAGUCUUUUAUUAACAAGGGACCCUGUCUGAUUCUGAAGAAGUCAACGGCUAAAACUGCAGCAGGUUACCUUUCUGCUCAUUAAAGAAAAUAGAUGUCAGGAGUGUUCUACUAAACACUAAAAGUACAGGAGCCAAACAGCUAAGAUGAGAUUAUCUUUGUCAAGCUAUGACAGAACUAUCCAAGGUUCAGCACAGGUGGGAGCAGCCUCCCCCCUCCUGGCUGAGGCAGGAGCUGCAAAAGGCUCUAUGAAUGACAUGUGAAAUGGCUGCAAAGAGCAAAGACAACAAGCCACAGCAAAAAAAUGUAACCAGCUGAUUUUUCAACGUUCAUCAAGCCAAACAGCCAAUACUUACCAAGACUCUGCUAGUCAGGUUGGUCUUCAGAAACAUUCAGCAAGCAUUGAUCAGUGUCAAUGGGUGGCAUUUUUUCUUGCAUGGAGGAAUUCAGUGGCACACCCUUGCUUCCGAUGGAUUCCGUCAGUCUGCCCCUCUGCUGCCAUCUGUCACAUGGAAACAACAUGUAAUGGAGUACUGUUAGGAAGGUUCAACCCCUGCUGCCAAACCACCAGCAUCCACCUCUGAUGUCAGGGGCCAACAUAAUAAAACAGGAGGCAUUACUUUCAGAGCAGCAAUUGUAUAAAUCGGACGCUCUUUAACAUUUAUUCAAGUUUAUUAAAAUACUACCAGAAUUUCUUGAAUUUUCUGAGUUGUGGACACCAUGAUAAGUUAAAUGCAGCUCUUCCCACUGCUUCAUAGAGAAACUCAAAUGCUAAUUUCAAGAAGUAAACAUUUUAUCUUUUUAGAUACUGAAAAUCACAGCCCAUCUUAAAAGUUGUUCCAUCUGAGUGAUUUUGAACUUUUUCUCUGGCGCCUCAUCUCACACUGGCUCACAUAAGUCUCACGCUUCCCAUUGUACUGGAAACAAUAAAUUCAAUGUGACGUUGUGAGAAAAUCUGAUAGAAUGAGUAUAGCUUGCCAGCUUGAAAUUCAGAAAUGAAACAAUCAUUUUUCAUCACGGUGCCAUUUGCUUAAGGGAGAUGUUCACACGUAGGAAAACUUUAACUACCAUAAUAUAAUAUAGUAACCUUAAAUAUUCUCUCUCAUGCUUUCUUAGUACUUUUCACUACCAGCAAUAUUUACAUUAGAGAUGCUCUUGAGCUACAAGCAACAGAUUCAGAUUUUACUUUCAUCUGCAAACUCACAAAAAUUCAAACUUAUACCACAGUUCCAAACAGCAUGUGUUGUGGAAAAAUAAAUCCCAUUGAGGAAAGAAAAUGCGGUCAAUCUGUAGUCUUUGAUGGGUACAGUUCUGGACUAACAGAUAGCUUAGUGAACUGUAGAAAUAAUUUAUCAUAUCACUUUCAAAUAAUGUUUCUCAGUUUUAGUGCAUCGUUCCACUUAUAUGAAAACUGUAAGAUGUGAAAUACUCCUUAGUUUUUGGUGCAUGCUGAAUAUUUUGAAGAUUCUAAAAUGUAGGCUCCUAGCACUUGGCAGACCCUUAAGCUGAGAAAAACAUGGAAAUAGCAGACUGGUUAACUCAAGCAGAAAUUGCCCUAACGGGAAGACAUCUGAUUCUUCAAGCUUUUAAAAGCAACUGUCUCAGUGGAUAGCUCCAAGACAGACUCACUGCAAAUGCCACAGGACAGUUCAGAGGAACAGAGUGAUCUGAAAACCACUAAAUGGGAGGGAAAGAUAAAAACAUAUUGUCAGGAAGAUAUAUAUUCAUUACACGAGUUCGGUUGAUGCCAAGAUUUCCUUCAAAAGAAGGCAGAAAUACAAGUAUGCAGUUCACGUGUAAAUGAAGAGAAAACAUUUCAGGUUGAUGAAGAUGACUGGAAGUGAGACUGCCUGAAAUCAGUGAGAGUUAAGGAAAAUAGGGAAAUCCUACUGAAUAUUUUUAUCUGCAGUAAAGAGAUUUGCUGCAAUAACUACGGCGGAAAAGUACAGCUUCUUCUUCUAGUUAGACUAUCAAGAGCACCAGUAAAAGCUUGGGUUUUGUUGUUCACAGGGAUAAGUCUAUUGUGUUCAGGGGAAAGAAAUCUGCAAGGAAACAUCAUCUUCUACCCCACAAACAUGUGGGGUGAAAUAGAGAUGCUGAUAGAGUCCUUCACAUUCAGCUCUACUCCAGAGCAGUAAAAAGCAGCAGGGUGUAUGCUCUUGCAGGUUUUGUUUUUUUAAAAUGCUUUCUCCAGAAAACACCACACACUGCAGCACAGGCAAUGCAUGUGGAGUAUGGCUCUUAAACCUGCACUGGGUGCACACUGGUAUUUACUACUCUCAUGUUACUACUGCAUUUUCAUACGUUCUAUAGAAGCACUCCAACACUGUGCCUCCCUCUGGCCUUUUUGCCUUCUUUAAAAACCACUUGCAGAGGACACCAGUUGCUGCUAAGCAGUGUACUUUUGGAAACUUCCAUUUCAGUUCCAUUUCUGCAGUGACGGCAAAAAGGCACAGUGCUUGCAAUUUUGAUUAUAUUCUACAUAGUUUACUUCAAUGUCUUGUUGCCAUGUAAAAUAGUACUAAAUCAGCUUCAAUUUUCUGCAUAAUUAAAAUAACCAUAAUAGUUCAACAUGGAAGCAUGCCAAGUUCAUUUGUAGGAGACGUUUUCAAAUAUUGCUGAGAAAAAUUACAUUUAAAAAAUUCCCAUGUGAUUGAAAAUGGAAUAAUACUCUGAAAAUGUGCACACAUACAUGUUCAAGUCUUUAAGGAGAUAAAAGAGUCAGUGCUCUCUUGUGUUUACUCUGCCAAUAUUUAAUACAGAUGAUAGCAUCCAUUCCUCUUUCCUUAUUAAAUGCUAUCCUUAAUCUCAAUCUGAAUUAUCAUUGUACACUCCAAAACAGGAUAAAUUCAGGACUCCUGAUAGUGAUGCAUGACUGUGGUGUUUCAUAUCGUGGUGCCUACUAUGACGCUGCUGUAGAAAGAUGUGGUUUUCCAUUUACUGAGCGCUUAAACUUUGUAGAAACUUUGCAGGCAUUUGUCUGCUUAAAUAUGUGCCAAAUAACCACUGUUGUUUUGUUUUUAAGAUGUAACUCUAAAAAAAGUUAACAAGAUAUAUUCCAAAACACCUUGCAUGCUUUGUUUUCCCUUUUAAAUUAUUCUCAAUUGUGUUAUCUCUCCAUCUCAAUAUCACAAUGACAUAAGGAUCUGCUUUGGCUGUCUGUAAUGUGUUUUUUUUUAUUAUUAUUUUAUUUAAUGCAUUUAGAAUGACCUUCUACGUCCAUUAAAUUAUAUAUGAUCUAGUUUCUUGGCAGGGCCAUUUAUGAUCAUUUGUCUUAGAUUUUAUGUAUUGCUUUUCAUUGUUGAUCUCAGAAAUUGUCUUACUUACACUGAAUAAAAAG
rnacentral:lncRNA from 1 species